CUUACUAAUGAUGAAUAGCUUUACCGCCCCAGUCUGACAUUUAUGAAUGAUUGGUAUUACUGAAUAUU
rfam:Dendroctonus ponderosae Seq01033553, whole genome shotgun sequence.